rnacentral:rRNA from 1 species
AUUGAACGCUGGCGGCAGGCCUAACACAUGCAAGUCGAGCGAGCUGCGGACGGGUGCGUAAUGCCUGGGAAACUGCCUGAUGGAGGGGGAUAACUACUGGAAACGGUAGCUAAUACCGCAUACCAUCAGCUUUUCCCAUAUGGCAUACGCUAGUAGGUGGGGUAACGGCUCACCUAGGCGACGAUCCCUAGCUGGUCUGACAGGAUGACCAGCCACACUGGAACUGGGACCCGGUCCAGACUCCUACGGGAGGCAGCAGUGGGGAAUAUUGCACAAUGGGCGCAAGCCUGAUGCAGCCAUGCCGCGUGUGUGAAGAAGGCCUUCGGGUUGUAAAGCACUUUCAGCGGGGAGGCGUUACCCGCAGAAGAAGCACCGGCUAACUCCGUGCCAGCAGCCGCGGUAAUAC